rnacentral:rRNA from 1 species
UGGGGAAUAUUGCACAAUGGGCGCAAGCCUGAUGCAGCCAUGCCGCGUGUAUGAAGAAGGCCUUCGGGUUGUAAAGUACUUUCAGCGGGGAGGAAGGUGUUGUGGUUAAUAACCACAGCAAUUGACGUUACCCGCAGAAGAGGCACCGGCUAACUCCGUGCCAGCAGCCGCGGUAAUACGGAGGGUGCAAGCGUUAAUCGGAAUUACUGGGCGUAAAGCGCACGCAGGCGGUCUGUCAAGUCGGAUGUGAAAUCCCCGGGCUCAACCUGGGAACUGCAUCCGAAACUGGCAGGCUUGAGUCUUGUAGAGGGGGGUAGAAUUCCAGGUGUAGCGGUGAAAUGCGUAGAGAUCUGGAGGAAUACCGGUGGCGAAGGCGGCCCCCUGGACAAAGACUGACGCUCAGGUGCGAAAGCGUGGGGAGCAAACA